rnacentral:rRNA from 1 species
CGUCUAUAUACGUAUAGCAUAUCAAUAAGCGGAGGAAAAGAAACUAACAAGGAUUCCCUUAGUAACGGCGAGUGAAGCGGGAAGAGCUCAAAUUUGAAAUCUUCAAGGUUCUACCUUGACGAAUUGUAGUUUAAAGAAGUGUUUUCUGUUAGAUGAGUAGCAAAAGUUCCUUGGAAUGGGACAUCAUAGAGGGUGAGAAUCCCGUAUUUGGUUAUUCAUUCUAGCUUUGUGAUACACUUUCAAAGAGUCGGAUUGUUUGGGAAUGCAGUCCAAAAUGGGUGGUAAAUUUCAUCUAAAGCUAAAUAUUGGCGAGAGACCGAUAGCGAACAAGUACCGUGAGGGAAAGAUGAAAAGAACUUUGAAAAGAGAGUUAAACAGUACGUGAAAUUGUCAAAAGGGAAGCGUUUGACACCAGUGUUGUUUUUCCGAAAAUCAAUUACGAAUGUUUUAUUUUUGAGGAGUUAUGACUUCAUCGGCUUGCUCCUUUCUUUAUGAAACUUUCUUAAUGCACUUUUCGUUUAACAAGUCAACAUCAAUUUCUUUUGUUGUAAAAGGGUCAUUGGAAGGUGGCUUUCUUUUCGGAGAAAGUGUUUAUAGCCUUUGGCCUCUGCAAUCGGAGAGAUUGAGGUCUGCAGCGUAGAUCCUUCGGGGUUAGAUACGUUUGUGCUAAGUUAUAGCUUUUCAUAGACAACUUGUUGACUAUGUUUAGUCUUGUAGCUUACUCGCUGACGCUAUUUUACCUACGCUUAGGAUGUUGACUGAUAUGUAGUCGUA